CAUAUUUGGCAGCCAUAUUCUUUGGGUAUUUUGUGGGUGAUUGUUUUCUGUGUCAGUGUUUGUGCCACACGGGACUGUUUCGGGUUUUCACGUUUCUUGUUUUGUAGUUGUGUUCAUGUUGAGAUUUUCUUGUUAAAAGAACCAUGGACACUUACCACGCCGCGUAUUGGUCCUCCGAUCCUUCUCGCCUCUCUUCAGAUGAAGAGGAGGAAAACUGUGACAGUUACUUUAAGUAUAAAGGGUUUAUGUAUCAGGCUACUUUCCGUUCAUUAGCUCUACAUUGACUAUUUUCAUGUAAACUGUUACCAAAUAUUCUGUCAAUGUAUUAGGCCAUUUUUACUUUUAGGGCUGGAUUGUCUGACCCAGAUUAAACCUACUCCUGGACUGAAUAACAGGGUCAAUGGGAAAUAUUUAUUGAAAGUGAUUCUUAGUCCAGAUUUAGGCUUAAUCUGGGUCUGUGAAAACCACCUUUAAAUGUUCUAAACUUUUGUUUCUUGCAUUCAGUAGCAUAAAAGGUUUUUGAUGUUACGUUCCCCAUAAAAGGUUUUUGAUGUUGUUACGUUCCCCAUAAAAGGUUUUUGAUGUUGUUACGUUCCCCAUAAAAGGUUUUUGAUGUUGUUACGUUCCCCAUAAAAGGUUUUUGAUGUUGUUACGUUCCCCAUAAAAGGUUUUUGAUGUUGUUACGUUCCCCAUAAAAGGUUUUUGAUGUUGUUACGUUCCCCAUAAAAGGUUUUUGAUGUUGUUACGUUCCCCAUAAAAGGUUUUUGAUGUUGUUACGUUCCCCAUAAAAGGUUUUUGAUGUUGUUACGUUCCCCAUAAAAGGUUUUUGAUGUUGUUACGUUCCCCAUAAAAGGUUUUUGAUGUUGUUACGUUCCCCAUAAAAGGUUUUUGAUGUUGUUACGUUCCCCAUAAAAGGUUUUUGAUGUUGUUACGUUCCCCAUAAAAGGUUUUUGAUGUUGUUACGUUCCCCAUAAAAGGUUUUUGAUGUUGUUACGUUCCCCAUAAAAGGUUUUUGAUGUUGUUACGUUCCCCAUAAAAGGUUUUUGAUGUUGUUACGUUCCCCAUAAAAGGUUUUUGAUGUUGUUACGUUCCCCAUAAAAGGUUUUUGAUGUUGUUACGUUCCCCAUAAAAGGUUUUUGAUGUUGUUACGUUCCCCAUAAAAGGUUUUUGAUGUUGUUACGUUCCCCAUAAAAGGUUUUUGAUGUUGUUACGUUCCCCAUAAAAGGUUUUUGAUGUUGUUACGUUCCCCAUAAAAGGUUUUUGAUGUUGUUACGUUCCCCAUAAAAGGUUUUUGAUGUUGUUACGUUCCCCAUAAAAGGUUUUUGAUGUUGUUACGUUCCCCAUAAAAGGUUUUUGAUGUUGUUACGUUCCCCAUAAAAGGUUUUUGAUGUUGUUACGUUCCCCAUAAAAGGUUUUUGAUGUUGUUACGUUCCCCAUAAAAGGUUUUUGAUGUUGUUACGUUCCCCAUAAAAGGUUUUUGAUGUUGUUACGUUCCCCAUAAAAGGUUUUUGAUGUUGUUAUGUUCCCCAGCAAGAAAAACAAAUAAUGUGACUCCAACGGAAGGGGAGGACUAACACAGAGUCACUGACCAUCAACCAAAACUAAACAGGUGGGGUUUUAGGAGGGGUUCUGAAAGACACUCAUGGGGGAUGUCCACUGAACUUUGCCUAGCAACAACAACUGGAACCUAACAGACACCCACUGUGAGAGCCCACUAGAUUCACCCUAGAAGAGGCCAAACAUCAGAAAAACCCACACCAAACUUAAAGACAGGAAGCAAACCAAAAAGUUUAGCAUAAACAAAAUCAGGGAAGAUCAGAUAGGGAGUGCCGACUGAAGGUGAUGACUGUGCUGACUAACGAGGUGACGCACUACACGCUAAAGUCCAACCUCAAAACAUACAUGGAAAAAACAAAAAAGAUGAAGAUCUUUAUUGACAGUAAAUAAAGAUGACAAAUGUUAAGGUCCUGAGUCCCAAAUCAUGAGAUAUUCUGUUAAAUGUUCUUUACAACAGGUUUUCAGAUGACCAACAGGCUGUGUACGGUCAUCAAUGUGCCAGCGUGAUUGAGAAUAAAUAGCU